UACGGGAGGCAGCAGUGGGGAAUAUUGCACAAUGGGCGAAAGCCUGAUGCAGCUAUGCCGCGUGUAUGAAGAAGGCCUUAGGGUUGUAAAGUACUUUCAUCGGGGAGGAAAAACAAAACUAAUAAUUUUAUUUCUUGACGUUACCCGAAAAAGAAGCACCGGCUAACUCCGUGCCAGCAGCCGCGGUAAUACGGAGGGUGCUAGCGUUAAUCAGAAUUACUGGGCGUAAAGAGCACGUAGGUGGUUUUUUAAGUCAGAUGUGAAAUCCCUGGGCUUAACCUAGGAACUGCAUUUUGAAACUGAAGUACUAGAGUAUCGUAGAGGGAGGUAGAAUUCUAGGUGUAGCGGUGAAAUGCGUAGAUAUCUGGAGGAAUACCUGUGGCGAAAGCGGCCUCCUAAACGAAUACUGACACUGAGGUGCGAAAGCGUGGGGAGCAAACAGGGAUUAGAUACC
rnacentral:rRNA from 1 species